rnacentral:rRNA from 1 species
AUUGAACGCUGGCGGAAUGCUUUACACAUGCAAGUCGAACGGCAGCGGGGGAUAGCUUGCUAUCCUGCCGGCGAGUGGCGGACGGGUGAGUAAUGCCUGGGGGAGCCUGCCCCAAUCGAGGGGGGAUACCAACUGGAAACGGUUGCUAAUACCGCAUACGCCCUGCGGGGGAAAGGUGGGGACCUUCGGGCCUACCGCGAUUGGAUGCACCCAGGUGGGAUUAGCUGGUUGGUGAGGUAACGGCUCACCAAGGCGACGAUCUCUAGCUGGUCUGAGAGGAUGACCAGCCACACUGGAACUGAGACACGGUCCAGACUCCUACGGGAGGCAGCAGUGGGGAAUAUUGCACAAUGGGGGAAACCCUGAUGCAGCCAUGCCGCGUGUGUGAAGAAGGCCUUCGGGUUGUAAAGCACUUUCAGUGGGGAGGAAGGGGCGAUGUCUAAUACGCAUUGACAUUGACGUUACCCACAGAAGAAGCACCGGCUAACUCCGUG